rnacentral:rRNA from 1 species
AUUGAACGCUGGCGGAAUGCUUUACACAUGCAAGUCGAGCGGCAGCGCGGGGCAACCUGGCGGCGAGCGGCGAACGGGUGAGUAAUGCAUCGGAACGUACCCAGUCGUGGGGGAUAACUGUCCGAAAGGACAGCUAAUACCGCAUACGUCCUGAGGGAGAAAGCGGGGGAUCGCAAGACCUCGCGCGAUUGGAGCGGCCGAUGCCGGAUUAGCUAGUUGGUAGGGUAAAGGCCUACCAAGGCGACGAUCCGUAGCUGGUCUGAGAGGAUGAUCAGCCACACUGGAACUGAGACACGGUCCAGACUCCUACGGGAGGCAGCAGUGGGGAAUAUUGCGCAAUGGGCGAAAGCCUGACGCAGCCACGCCGCGUGAGCGAUGAAGGCC